GGCAGGCUUAACACAUGCAAGUCGAGGGGUAACGGGGAAGCUUGCUUCCGCCGACGACCGGCGCACGGGUGCGUAACGCGUAUACAAUCUACCUUGUACUGGGGUAUAGCCUUUAGAAAUGAAGAUUAAUCCCCCAUAGUCUCUUAGAGUGGCAUCACUUCUAGAGUAAAGGUUACGGUAUAAGAUGAGUAUGCGUUCUAUUAGUUUGUUGGUGUGGUAACGGCACACCAAGACUACGAUAGAUAGGGGCCCUGAGAGGGGGAUCCCCCACACUGGUACUGAGACACGGACCAGACUCCUACGGGAGGCAGCAGUGAGGAAUAUUGGACAAUGGAGGCAACUCUGAUCCAGCCAUGCCGCGUGCAGGAAGACUGCCCUAUGGGUUGUAAACUGCUUUUAUACAGGAAGAAACACCUCUACGUGUAGAGGCUUGACGGUACUGUAAGAAUAAGGAUCGG
rnacentral:rRNA from 1 species